CACGUAGGGACCAAGCGUUGUCCGGAUUUAUUGGGCGUAAAGAGCUCGUAGGCGGUUCCGUAAGUCGGAUGUGAAAACUCAGGGCUCAACCCUGAGACGCCAUCUGAUACUGCGGUGACUAGAGUCCGGUAGGGGAGCAUGGAAUUCCUGGUGUAGCGGGGAAAUGCGCAGAUAUCAGGAGGAACACCAAUGGCGAAGGAAGUGCUCUGGGCCGGAACUGACUCUGAGGAGCGAAAGCAUGGGCAGCAAACAGG
rnacentral:rRNA from 1 species